GCAGUCGACGGCAGCACGGGGGCAACCCUGGUGGCGAGUGGCGAACGGGUGAGUAAUACAUCGGAACGUGCCCAGUAGUGGGGGAUAGCCCGGCGAAAGCCGGAUUAAUACCGCAUACGACCUAAGGGUGAAAGCGGGGGACCGUAAGGCCUCGCGCUAUUGGAGCGGCCGAUGGCAGAUUAGCUUGUUGGUGGGGUAAAAGCCUACCAAGGCGACGAUCCGUAGCUGGUCUGAGAGGACGACCAGCCACACUGGGACUGAGACACGGCCCAGACUCCUACGGGAGGCAGCAGUGGGGAAUUUUGGACAAUGGGCGAAAGCCUGAUCCAGCAAUGCCGCGUGUGUGAAGAAGGCCUUCGGGUUGUAAAGCACUUUUGGCGGGAACGAAAUGGUCUGGGCUAAUACCCCGGGCCGAUGACGGUACCCGCAGAAUAAGCACCGGCUAACUACGUGCCAGCAGCCGCGGUAAUACGUAGGGUGCAAGCGUUAAUCGGAAUUACUGGGCGUAAAGCGUGCGCAGGCGGUUGUGCAAGACAGAUGU
rnacentral:rRNA from 1 species